rnacentral:rRNA from 1 species
AUGGCUCAACCAUAGAACUGCAUUGGAAACUGUCAAACUAGAAUACUGAAGGGGCAGAUGGAAUUAGUGGUGUAGGGGUAAAAUCCGUAGAUAUCACUAGGAAUACCGAAAGCGAAAGCGAUCUGCUGGGAAGUUAUUGACGCUGAGGCACGAAAGCGUGGGGAGCAAACGGGAUUAGAUACCCCGGUAGUCCACGCCCUAAACGAUGAAUGCUAGUCGUCGGAAAGCUCGUCUUUUCGGUGAUGCAGUUAACACAUUAAGCAUUCCGCCUGGGGAGUACGGUCGCAAGAUUAAAACUCAAAGGAAUAGACGGGGACCCGCACAAGUGGUGGAGCAUGUGGUUUAAUUCGAAGAUACGCGAAGAACCUUACCUAGCCUUGACAUUGAUUGAAUCUUUCAGAGAUGAGAGAGUGCCUUUCGAGGAACAUGAAAACAGGUGCUGCACGGCUGUCGUCAGCUCGUGCCGUGAGAUGUUGGGUUAAGUCCCGCAACGAGCGCAACCCUCGUCGUUAGUUGCUAACAGUUCGGCUGAGCACUCUAGCGAGACUGCCUUCGCAAGGAGGAGGAAGGUGAGGACGACGUCAAGUCAUCAUGGCCCUUAUGGCUAGGGCUACACACGUGCUACAAUGGGGCGUACAGAGAGUUGCGAUACCGCGAGGUGGAGCUAAUCUCAUAAAGCGUCUCUCAGUUCGGAUUGAUCUCUGCAACUCGAGAUCAUGAAGCUGGAAUCACUAGUAAUCGUAGAUCAGCAAUGCUACGGUGAAUACGUUCCCGGGUCUUGUACUCACCGCCCGUCACACCAUGGGAGUUGAUUUCACCCGAAAUCGGGAAGCAAACCUUCGGGAUGCUACCGCUUGCGGUGGA